rnacentral:rRNA from 1 species
UGGUCAAGUUAUUAAGGGUGCAGGGCGGAUGCCUUGGCACUAGGAGCCGAUGAAGGACGUGAUAAGCUGCGAUAAGCUUCGGGGAGUUGCACGUAAACUUUGAUCCGAAGAUUUCCGAAUGAGGAAACUCACUUAGAGUAAUGUCUAAGUAUCAUUAAGUGAAUACAUAGCUUAAUGAGGGGAACUCAGGGAACUGAAACAUCUAAGUACCUGAAGGAAGAGAAAGAAAUUCGAUUCCGUAAGUAGCGGCGAGCGAACGCGGAUUAGCCCAAACCAAUAAAGUUUUCUUUAUUGGGGUUGCGGACAUAUCAUAACGAAGAGGUAUCAUAAUUGAAGAGGUUUGGAAAGACCCACCACAGAAGGUAAUAGUCCUGUAUGUUAAACGAGAAGACUUUAGAUAUGAUCCAGAGUACCACGGGACACGUGAAACCCUGUGGGAAGCAGGAGGGACCACCCUCCAAGGCUAAAUACUACCUAGUGACCGAUAGCGUAUAGUACCGUGAGGGAAAGGUGAAAAGAACCCCGGGAGGGGAGUGAAAUAGAACCUGAAACCCUGCACUUACAAGCUGUGGAAGCACAUUUCUUGUGUGACCGCGUACUUUUUGUAGAACGGGCCAACGAGUUACGUUAAGUAGCAAGGUUAAGCACUUAAGGUGUGGAGCCGUAGCGAAAGCGAGUUUUAACUGAGCGUUCAGUUACUUGACGUAGACCCGAAACCGGGCGACCUACCCAUGAGCAGGAUGAAGCGAAAGUAAAAUUUCGUGGAGGUCCGAACCCACGAGCGUUGAAAAGCUCGGGGAUGACUUGUGGGUAGCGGUGAAAUUCCAAUCGAGCCCGGAGAUAGCUGGUUCUCCCCGAAAUAGCUUUAGGGCUAGCCUCAAGGUGAGAGAUACGGAGGUAGAGCACUGAAUGUCCUAGGGGGUAUUGCACCUACCGAAGACUAUCAAACUCCGAAUGCCGUCAUCUUAUACUUGGGAGUCAGACUGUGGGUGAUAAGAUUCAUAGUCGAAAGGGCAACAGCCCAGAUCGUCAGCUAAGGUCCCUAAAUGUAAGUUAAGUGGUAAAGGAUGUGGGAUUGCACAGACAACCAGGAUGUUGGCUUAGAAGCAGCCACUCAUUCAAAGAGUGCGUAAUAGCUCACUGGUCGAGUGAUCCUGCGCCGAAGAUUUCCGGGGCUAAAACUUACUACCGAAGCUACGGCAUCAGUAAUGAUGGGUAGGGGAGCUUCCCAUACGGGUUGAAGCAUGACCGUAAGGACAUGUGGACAGUAUGGGAGUGAGAAUGUUGGCAUGAGUAGCGAGAUGUGGGUGAGAAUCCCACAGGCCGUAAACCCAAGG